rnacentral:rRNA from 1 species
GAUGAACGCUGGCGGCGUGCUUAACACAUGCAAGUCGAACGAAGCAUUUAGGACAGAUUACUUCGGUUUGAAGUUCUUUAUGACUGAGUGGCGGACGGGUGAGUAACGCGUGGGUAACCUGCCUUGUACUGGGGGAUAGCAGCUGGAAACGGCUGGUAAUACCGCAUAAGCGCACAAUGUUGCAUGACAUGGUGUGAAAAACUCCGGUGGUAUAAGAUGGACCCGCGUCUGAUUAGCUAGUUGGUGAGAUAACAGCCCACCAAGGCGACGAUCGGUAGCCGACCUGAGAGGGUGACCGGCCACAUUGGGACUGAGACACGGCCCAGACUCCUACGGGAGGCAGCAGUGGGGAAUAUUGCACAAUUGAGGAAACUCUGAUGCAGCGACGCCGCGUGAGUGAAGAAGUAAUUCGUUAUGUAAAGCUCUAUCAGCAGGGAAGAUAGUGACGGUACCUGACUAAGAAGCGCCGGCUAAAUACGUG